rnacentral:rRNA from 1 species
UACGUAGGGUGCGAGCGUUGUCCGGAAUUAUUGGGCGUAAAGGGCUCGUAGGCGGUCUGUCACGUCGGGAGUGAAAACUCGGGGGCUCAACCCCGAGCGUGCACCCGAUACUGCCGGGCUUGAGGCAGGUAGGGGAGAUCGGAAUUCCUGGUGUAGCGGUGAAAUGCGCAGAUAUCAGGAGGAACACCGGUGGCGAAGGCGGAUCUCUGGGCCAUUACUGACGCUGAGGAGCGAAAGCGUGGGGAGCGAACAGG